rnacentral:tRNA from 1 species
GAUCACUUAGCUCAAUGGUAGAGCAUUACGUACGCCGCGAUAAAGGUUCCUGGUUCGAUUCCGGGAGUGAUCA